rnacentral:rRNA from 1 species
CCCUUAGAUGUUCUGGGCUGCACGCGCGCUACACUGAAGCGUUCAACGAGUAUUUCACCUUGCCCGGGAGGGUUGGGUAAUCUUUUUAAAACGCUUCGUGAUGGGGAUAGAUUAUUGCAAUUAUUAAUCUUUAACGAGGAAUUCCUAGUAAGCGCGAGUCAUCAGCUCGUGCUGAUUACGUCCCUGCCCUUUGUACACACCGCCCGUCGCUCCUACCGAUUGAAUGAUCCGGUGAAUAAUUCGGACUGCAGCAGUGUUCAGUUCCUGAACGUUGCAGCGGAAAGUUUAGUGAACCUUAUCACUUAGAGGAAGGAGAAGUCGUAACA